rnacentral:rRNA from 1 species
GUGGGGAAUCUUCCGCAAUGGACGAAAGUCUGACGGAGCAACGCCACGUGAGUGAUGAAGGUCUUCGGAUUGUAAAGCUCUGUUAAUCGGGACGAAAGAGCCUAGUGUGAAUAAUGCUAGGAAGUGACGGUACCGGAAUAGAAAGCCACGGCUAACUACGUGCCAGCAGCCGCGGUAAUACGUAGGUGGCAAGCGUUGUCCGGAAUUAUUGGGCGUAAAGCGCGCGCAGGCGGAUCUGCCAGUCUGUCUUAAAAGUUCGGGGCUUAACCCCGUGAUGGGAUGGAAACUACAGAUCUAGAGUAUCGGAGAGGAAAGUGGAAUUCCUAGUGUAGCGGUGAAAUGCGUAGAUAUUAGGAAGAACACCAGUGGCGAAGGCGACUUUCUGGACGAAAACUGACGCUGAGGCGCGAAAGCCAGGGGAGCGAACGGGAUUAGAAACCCCAGUAGUCC